rnacentral:rRNA from 1 species
CAAGACAACUUUACGGAGUUGACGAUUGACGGAGCGAAGCGACGUCAAAGCGUUCAUUAAAGUCGAGUUGGCUUAGGGAUACGUUCGUUGGGUAGGGGAGCGUUCUGUAAGCCUGUGAAGGUGUGUCGUGAGGCAUGCUGGAGGUAUCAGAAGUGCGAAUGCUGACAUAAGUAACGAUAAAGCGGGUGAAAAGCCCGCUCGCCGGAAGAUCAAGGGUUCCUGUCCAACGUUAAUCGGGGCAGGGUGAGUCGACCCCUAAGGCGAGGCCGAAAGGCGUAGUCGAUGGGAAACGGGUUAAUAUUCCCGUACUUGGUGUUACUGCGAAGGGGGGACGGAGAAGGCUAUGUUGGCCGGGCGACGGUUGUCCCGGUUUAAGCGUGUAGGCUGGUUUUCCAGGCAAAUCCGGAAAAUCAAG